ACUCUAACAGUUUAUGAGAACAUCGGUCUUGUAAACCGAAGAAUGUAGGCCACUCCCCUUCUUAGAGUU
rnacentral:tRNA from 1 species